AUUAAGCAACGUCGCUUCGACACUUCGAACAUGCAACGUACGUUUCUCUUUGACUUCGACAAUAUCUUGAUAUUAGAUCAUCUAGACAUCGUGUAACAUAUUAACAGGUGGAAUCUGUGCCAGGGUAAACUGCAUUUCUGCCACCUUUGUGUUGCUAUUCUGUUUACAUCGCGAGGGUUUGCGGGAGAUUUGAUAGAUCUACUCUUACUGUUGGACAGUUACUGAGAGAGAAGCAAGGAGGCAGAGGUAAAUUCAGCUCUUACUGUUGGACAGUUAGUGAGAGGGAAGCAGGGAGGAAGAGGUGAAUAGAGCUCUUAUUGUUGAACAUUUACUGAGAGAGAAGCAAGGAGGCAGAGGUGAAUAGAGCUCUUACUGUUGGACAGUUAUUUAGAGAGAAGCAAGGAGGCAGAGGUAAAUAGAGUUGUUACUGUUGGACAGUUAUUGAGAGACAAGCAAGGAGGAAGAGGUGAAUAGAGCUGUUACUGUUGGACAGUUACUGAGACAGAAGCAAGGAGGCAGAGGUGAAUAGAGCUCUUACUGUUGGACAGUUAAUGAGAAAGAAGCAAGGAGGGACAGCGAAAACAACGAAACUAGCGAAAUUACAGACAGCUGACAUCAGUUGACAUCAAGAUUUGUGGUCAAGGAGCAAAGUUUGUGGUGGGAGAGAGCAAGUUAUUCCUGUGUAGGUAUAUUGGUAAGUGGGUCAUUU